rnacentral:piRNA from 1 species
UAGAUCGGAUGCCUUGACACACCGGAUUGUCC